GACGAACGCUGGCGGCGUGCUUAACACAUGCAAGUCGAACGGAAAGGCCCCCACCUUGGGGGGGGUGCUCGAGUGGCGAACGGGUGAGUAACACGUGGGAGAUCUGCCCUGUACUUCGGGAUAAGCUUGGGAAACUGGGUCUAAUACCGGAUAGGACCAUGGUUUAGUGUCUCAUGGGGGAAAAAUUAUUGUUUUGGUGCAGGCUGAGCGCGCGGCCUAUCAGCUUGUUGGUGGGGUAAUGGCCUACCAAGGCGUCGACGGGUAGCCGGCCUGGGAGGGUGGACGGCCACAUGGGGACUGAGAUACGGCCCAGACUACUACGGGAGGCAGCAGUGGGGAAUAUUGCACAAUGGGAGCAAGCCUGAUGCAGCGAAGCCGCGUGGGGGAUGACGGCCUUCGGGUUGUAAGCUCCUUUCGUUAGGGACGAAGCCACACCUUUUUUGGGUGUGGUGACGGUACCUUUGUUAAGAAGCACCGGCUAACUACGUG
rnacentral:rRNA from 1 species